rnacentral:tRNA from 4 species
GGGCAGGUCGCAUAGUUGGUCUAGUGCGCGGCACUGGAAAUGCCGUACAGCGGUAACGCUGUCGUGGGUUCGAAUCCCACCCUGCCCGCCA